rnacentral:tRNA from 1 species
AGCAGAAUGGCCUAAUGGAUAGAGCACUAGACUGGGAGCCAGAAGAACCUGGGUUCUAAUCCCAGUUCCACUG